GCGUCAGUCAAACACCGGCCCUCUUUCUCCCAAUCCCCGCAGCCGUCGCGCCCGGCACACCUCCCUUCUCCACUCCCCCCCGCACCCCACCCUUCCCAGCCGAGCUUGUUCCUCUAGCCACCCACUCGUCUGCUCCUCCUCCUCCUCCUCUCUCUCUUCUAGCUUCCUCCUCCUUCCUGAUCUCUACGUCGGCCGGACCACGAGAGGAGCGGCGGUGGCGGAGACGCUCCGGUGGCGGCAUCGAGUUGCGAACCCCAGGAACCAGGUCUGGGGGUUCGGUUCCAAGGCGCGGACGGCUUCUCCGCCUAUGACACCGAGGGCAAGUGUACACCCCAGUCCCCUCCUCCUGCGCAAACCCUACGAGAGAGAGAGAGAGAGAGGAAGAUGAGAGGGAGGGAGAGAGAAUGACCGGCGUCAGCCUGCACCAGCAAGGACGGGCGCGACGUGGAGGUUGGCCGCUGCUCGAUCUGCUCUUGGAUCGGGAGCUUCGACGAAGCUGGGGUUCGGGCGCAUUGCACCGGAGGCUGCACUCCACCUCUUGCUUGUGGUGCGGUGGACAGCAACUCUUGCGGUCGUGCGGCUGACGGCGGCCUCAGCGGGUGGUCAACGACACUUGCAGCUGGUGCUCUACCCAUGGAUUCCGGCACAGCCCGAAAUACUCAGAUAUUUGACUGCAUUACUGAAUGUUCUAGGGUUGGAGCAGCAGCUGAGCUUAGGGCAAGACAAGCACAUUAGUUGAAUCCUGAACUUAUAGGAUGGUUUCCCCUGCCACAACCAUUGUCAUCGGCCUGCAUUCCCUUGUCAAGCGUGCAUCGGUGCUGGAUAUGCAAGCUGCAACAGUGCAUCAACGGGCAGGCAAGAGCAAGACGAUGGUCAUGAUUUUUGGUUUGAAGUUGCUUUUAUGAACUCCAAGCAGUGGAAGACAAUGUUAACUGAAGCCACUUUUGUUGGUCAUGGAUUUACAAGAAAGCCAGUAGAGUAUGAAAAGGUUCUCAUGGGACUCACCCUGAACUGAAAUCUAUCUUCAACCUUGGUAUAUCUCUAUAGAAAAACCCAAGUGGAAGCCACUUUUGUUGGUCAUGGAUUUACAAGAAAGCCAGUAGAGUAUGAAAAGGUUCUCAUGGGACUCACCCUGAACUGAAAUCUAUCUUCAACCUUGCUUAAACUGAAAGCAAUGCAUGGUAUUGUUCAAUUCGAAGUGUACUUGACGUGUGCAGAUCUGAGGAUGAAGGGAAGAAGACAGAAUUUAGCUGAAGAGUUGAAUAAGAUCAAGUUCCUGGUGAUCUCCGACGUUUGUCAGCUAAUGCCACCAUGAGGGUGCUGGGCUGCUGAUGGCAUGCUACCUGCUUUGAAUAAAAGGAAUGAAAGGAAGCAUUUGUUCAUAGAACAAAUAUAUUCAUUGUCUGUUAAGAUAAAUAUCCCUAUCCUCUGUUUGUUUCUUGAUUAUUCUCUGUGAACUUUUGUUCUAUGUGCAGACAAGUUUCCUCCAUAUUAUGUCAACAUCCCAUGGUGAUGUAUGUGAAAGAUUGAAAGUGCGGUACUACAUAAAGACGCGCUGCAAAUAUUGUUGCAUAAUCACAACUUUCAUAACAUUAACUUCCAUUGUCUGUUAAUAAUUAAUUAUCUCGGGUAAAAUCUAUUUUUCUACCUGAUUGAUGUGGUUAGUUUGAUUUAUAGUAGAAUAUCAACAUUCUCCUUUAUGAUGGUUGAUGGGCAGUGUGUUUCGUCCAAGUGAUAUGUUUCCUGUAUUGUUAGAGAUGUCUAUUUGGCUUAUGAUCGUACUGUUGAGCACAUCUUACCCUUGUGCUGAAGAUAAAUGGUACUAAUCAAUCUGCCAAAGCUUUGUGAUGUGAAAGUGCAUUUGGUAGGAAGGGUUCUGCAGAUAACCCCUUUAGAUUCUGUCCCUUCAAGAUUUUUUUGUAUCAAGCCAUAAAUUUAAACAGGAAUCCUUCAGUGGCUAUUUUGUUUAUCCACACACUUUCUAAUGUCUGGUCCUCUUAAAUUAGGAUAAGCUUUUUACUGUCUUUGUUUUUUGAUUAUCAUCAACAAUACUGGUUCUGUUGUCCCUUAGGCUGUCAAUGCUGAUGCUAUUUCAAUGCUGAGAAGCAAACUCGGAAAUCAGCUCGCUAACAAGAGUCGGAAUUCGAAUCUGAGGCAACUUUCACAUUCCCCAAUUUGUCUAUUGAACCCAUGAUCUCUCUUUCUUUUGCAUUAUUUUCCAUUCAUUAUCUAAGAUAUAAUUUCGACUUCACUGCACCGUGUUGUCUGGUUUAUAAUGCCGGUUGAGCUCAUUUCUAAUUGUUCAUAACUACUUAAUUUUUUUGUUGUGAUUUUGCAAGAUAUUGAAAUUAUUGUAUUUCAAAAUUGUUUUACUGAUUCUCGAUGCUCUGUUCACGGCUUUUUUCUUAUUUUAUCCUUCUUUGCUUUUUUCCUUUCCUGCAAGACGAUGUCGAGUCAUGUAAUAUGUUCAAAGAAGAGAGAAUCUGCAUUUUAUGAAUCCUUUCUUCUUUCUUCAUUGUUACUUCAAGUUAGUGAAUUCAUUUAAGUUGUAUUGAUCAGCUUCAUGUGCAUGGUUUCUUCAUCUACACAUCUUAUUCAGUCACGAGGCGAGUAAGAUCUUUUGCCUUUUAGAAAAAGGGAGAUGCCAUUUAGACCUUACUCUUCCAACUUGAUCUUUAACUUGCUACUACUGUUUCUGAGCAUUUUCCCAAGCAUUUUUUAUUUGCUUCAGAGAAUGAGCUCACCUCAUUCAGUGGAUGUGCCAAGUAAAAAAAUUAGAAACUGAGCAAUUAGUUCCACUCUUGAAUUUUGUACAGCGGUCCAAAUUAUCCAAUAAAUCAUUUGUUAGCAGGGUCAAAUUAUAGAAGUUGAAUCAGUUGUUCCAAAUUACAAUGUGUGACUUAUUCCAUUUGUUUAUCCUUUUGUCCUUUUAAUCAAGAACACUAUUUAGAGCUUACAUGGUUGUCCAAAUUUAGUUCUGUAAAAGAGGAAUAUUGAUAUCAUGCAAUGAUCAGUGCAGAUUAGAAUAGUUAUAGAGUUAUUCCUCAGUUUUCAUUGAGCAAAGAUUGAAUCUGUAUGAUUUUUUCUAAUACCAAGUAAAUCUUGGUCUGCAUUUUGUUAGUUUUCCUACUGAGUUUUUUUGGCUAUUUUCGUUUAAAUUGGUAGUUGAUGUGAAAAAGUGUGUGUUGACAUGGAUGUAACCAAAUCAUGUAUUAAUGUGAGGUACUACAUAGACUUGCCUAUCUCUUUCCAUAAGCACAACCCUCUUGAUCCAACUAGGAACAUCAAAACCAAAUGGGAAAUCAUUGAGUGGACUUCAGAUGGCCAUGCUGUGAGUACACCAUUAGUAUCUGAAUCUACUUUGUAUAAUUAAGACACACUUUCUACAUAUCGCUGCUAUAUUGAUACCAUGUGAUCACUUAACAUGAGUGUGACUAGCCUAUUUUCUUGCCUAACUGUGUGAUUGCAUGUAGUAAUGCAUGGCUUCUCUAUUUAAAUGAAGAGUUGUGUUUAUCAUAAUAAUUAUGUACCACAGACUUGUUUCUUUCUGUUUAUAUAAUAAUGCAGUUCGUCUUCUACCAUAUGUUUUCUUUGUUACAUGUCUUCUAAUUGUUCAUCUUUUUUUCUCUUUCGACGACAAAAUAACUUCGCGUUUCGAAAUAUUUAGUACGCCAUCAUGGUCUUUCUUAAGGGUGUUCAGGCCUUUUGGUCUUCUAUUCAUGCUGCGAACCCCAAUAUGGCAUCUCGCCGUUCCCCAUGAUCCACAUGGCAAAUAAAUAGAAGGCAUAUGUAUUGUUUUGAGUGAAGCCAUCCAUAUCCCAUAUGUGGAAUUCAAGAUAUAGAGAAAUGCUAAUUGGUUGCUUGACCAAAUGUACUAUAAAUGAUGUUAUUAUUGUACCAGAUAUAGAGAAAUGUUAUUGUUCUUCAAUUAUUGAGAUGAUAUAAGUACUACUUAGCAGUUUUGUCUCUUAACCGAACAAAGCUCUCGAGGAAGAAGGGAUAAAUAAGUGCUGAGCAAAAAGGGCUAAACAAGUCGCCCGAUUCACGGGCCGAACUGGCUGCACAACUGCUUCACUGAUUUGAAAUAUACAUGCGUCUGAGUGGCACAUAAGUACUCUCUUUUUUCAAACACACAAAAACAAAGCUGAUAGAAACAACUACUCUUUCUAAAAUAGCAUAAUUAUACAUAUGUUCUUAGGCAAGAAGAUAUGUACUCUUAUAGAAGGGUCUAAAUUCUUACCCCGCGUACUUGCUCAAACAAAAGAUUCUGGAAAAAUACAUAUUUUCAAUGUGACAUUGUUUUGAAUGAGACUCCACGCUACCAAAGUAAAUUGUGCAUGUAUAUCUUAUUGUAGA